UUUUUUUUUUUUUUUUUUUUUUUGAGACGGAGUCUCGCUCUGUCACCCGAGCUGGAGUGCAGUGGCCGGAUCUCAGCUCACUGCAAGCUCCGCCUCCCGGGUUCACGUCAUUCUCCUGCCUCAGCCUCCCGAGUAGCUGGGACUACAGUUGCUCGCCACCUCGCCCGGCUAGUUUUUUUGUAUUUUUUAGUAGAGACGGAGUUUCACCGUGUUAGCCAGGAUGGUCUCGAUCUCCUGACCUCGUGAUCCGCCCGUCUCGGCCUCCCAAAGUGCUGGGAUUACAGGCUUGAGCCACUGCGCCCGGCCCGGCCUGUGUCUUUCUAAUGUGCUGCAGACAACCCUGCCUGGCCUUUCUCUUAGAGAGACAUUGCCAUCAUUAUACUGGAUCAUAAAAACACCUGCCCUCAAGGGAGACAUUGUCUCUAGCUUCCAAGCUGUUCACUGUCUAAAUGUCUGUGGAAAGGUAAUCUGGAACAAAAGGACAGUUGGUGCCUCUGCUCACAGGGAUUGAAGGAACACGAGACCAUGGGGAACUGUACCUCAGUAGCCAAUCUGUGGGACAUUCUAUAAGACAACUGGCCUGGAAUCAUUAAAAAUAUCAAUCAGUGUCAAUGUCACUGUCAUUGUAGCAAAUGUCAGUGUUCUGCCCGUGUUCACUCAACUUGAUCAUUUCAGUGUCCCAUUCACAGCUGAUGUCCCACUCAUAAGAUUUGCAUUUCUUUGUUCAAGGGCUUUUUCCCUAAACCCAGAUCUAAGGCAGAGAAUUAAUACCCUCCCAGGAGCAACCCUCAGCUAGUGACUGAUGAAAGUCAGUGUACAAACAUUCCAGCUCCCUCACCCUCUGAGUGAGAAAACUCCGAAAUACAUGGUUACACUAGUUCCCUGAGCUCCCCAACACUCCCAAAGCAGUGUUCAGUGGUGACUGGCUUGAUAACACACGCUACUGUCUGCUUUCUUUCCCUGAAUCACUUCCCCAUUACCUACUGGUGUUGUUAGAGUGGGUAAUAGGCAGAUAUGAGCAGGAUAGGGCCCCAGAGAAUGUCAGACAACUCUCAGGUCACUGCCAGGCAAACAUCUGGUGAAAGGGAAGGGGAAAUGUUCCUCAUAAACAGGAGACAUCUUGAGCUUGUGGACAACAACUUCUUGGUAAGAACUUCAAAUGGUCGAGUUGGACCUUCCUCGGGGGACGUGGCCAGGCAAGCACAGUGAGUUGCAAAAUGGCAGAGUUCGACGCAUAUGUGACCACCUUCUGGGGGCACCAGACCAAUAAGGGAUAACUGCCCUAAGAGAGCAUGCACAUAACUUCAGUAUGGCACGUGUGCCCCUCCCAAAUGCUAGCAAGCCAUUGCACAUGCAGCAAUUAGCCAACAGCCUGCCGAGGGGGAGGGACAAGAGGGAGAGAUGGGGGAAAAAAAUCAGAAAAUAGCAGAUCUGUAAGAGUCCUGAGCCAGCAAUCAGGCAGAGUACUCAAUCUUUGAGUUUUGCCUGCUUGGUUCUUUGCAAAUGUGCUUUUCUUUGCUUCGAUGAACUUGUUUCUGCCUUAAAUCUACUUGUCUCGGCCAAAUUCAUUAUCCCAAUAAGACAAGGAUUGAGGACUGUGGAGCCAACCCAGACUCGCCACGGCGAACAGUGUUUCCUGGGGUUGCCUCCCAGAUUGUGCUCGAACCCUUGUCUCAGAGUUGACUACUGUAAGAACCCCAGAUGAGACAGUCUACAAGUAGAAAUGUCAGAUAAUGCAGUUAGAUAUGAAUCUGAAAUUCAGAGGAGAGGCUCAUGCAAUUUGUGAGUCAUCAUCAAAAAGAUGUCAUUUGUUCGGUUAUCUACUGCAGGACGACAGAUUACCCUAAAAUUUAGUGGCUGAAAACAACUAUCUUUUACUGUAGCUUACAAUUUUGUGGACUGGGAAGUAGAGCCUGUGUCAUCUGGGCAACUCUUCUGUUCCCCGUGGCAUCACCUGAGGUCACUCCAUGGUAUUCAGCUACCAGACGAACUCAUCUGGAGUACCCAAGUACUCAUUCAUGCUCAUAUCUGGCGCCUUGGCAGGGAUGACUGGAAGCCUGGGCUCAGCUGGGACUGCCAACCGUAGUACCUACAGACGGCCUCUUCAGCUUCUUAAAUGGCUGCUCAGAGCUACCGAGAGACAGGAAGUAGAAGCUCCUAGUUUCUUAAGACCCAGA
ensembl:lncRNA